rnacentral:rRNA from 1 species
CCUACGGGAGGCAGCAGUGAGGAAUAUUGGUCAAUGGACGCAAGUCUGAACCAGCCAUGCCGCGUGCAGGAAGAAUGCCCUAUGGGUUGUAAACUGCUUUUAUUUAGGAAGAAACCCCCUGACGUGUCGGGGGCUGACGGUACUAAACGAAUAAGGACCGGCUAACUCCGUGCCAGCAGCCGCGGUAAUACGGAGGGUCCAAGCGUUAUCCGGAAUCAUUGGGUUUAAAGGGUCCGCAGGCGGGCUGAUAAGUCAGUGGUGAAAUCUCUCAGCUUAACUGGGAAACUGCCAUUGAUGCUGUUAGUCUUGAAUUCGGUCGAAGUAGGCGGAAUGUGUCAUGUAGCGGUGAAAUGCAUAGAUAUGACACAGAACACCGAUAGCGAAGGCAGCUUACUAGGCCUGAAUUGACGCUCAUGGACGAAAGCGUGGGGAGCAAACAGGAUUAGAUACCCUGGUAGUCCACGCCGUAAACGAUGAUUACUCGAUAUCAGCGAUAUACUGUUGGUGUCUAAGCGAAAGUGAUAAGUAAUCCACCUGGGGAGUACGAUCGCAAGGUUGAAACUCAAAUGAAUUGACGG